GGGGGCGGAUAGGUGCUGGUGUGCCUACCGGUCUUCAAAACCGGCUGGACCGGGCAACCGGUUUGGUGAGUUCGAUUCUCACACGUCUCCGCCA
rnacentral:tRNA from 1 species